rnacentral:rRNA from 1 species
ACGUACACUCCUACGGGAGGCAGCAGUGGGGAAUAUUGGACAAUGGGCGCAAGCCUGAUCCAGCCAUGCCGCGUGAGUGAUGAAGGCCCUAGGGUUGUAAAGCUCUUUCACCGGUGAAGAUAAUGACGGUAACCGGAGAAGAAGCCCCGGCUAACUUCGUGCCAGCAGCCGCGGUAAUACGAAGGGGGCUAGCGUUGUUCGGAUUUACUGGGCGUAAAGCGCACGUAGGCGGACUAUUAAGUCAGGGGUGAAAUCCCGGGGCUCAACCCCGGAACUGCCUUUGAUACUGGUAGUCUUGAGUUCGAGAGAGGUGAGUGGAAUUCCGAGUGCAGAGGUGAAAUUCGUAGAUAUUCGGAGGAACACCAGUGGCGAAGGCGGCUCACUGGCUCGAUACUGACGCUGAGGUGCGAAAGCGUGGGGAGCAAACAGGAUUAGAAACCCCGGUAGUCCC